AGAUUCUAAUUGUAAUUCUAUAAUUAACCACUUUUAAUAACUAAAUCAAUCAUCCGUCCUCUGGAAUUACCUAUUCUAUGGACUAUUAGUAUAUUUUAUCAAUAUCUUUCAUAAUUAAAUUAAUAUCUAUUCUACAAUUUACAAUGUGCAAGUAGUUCUAGAUAGUAUAGUUGAAAAUGAAUAUGUUUGAAAAAAAGAAGUGUAAAAUAUAACUUUA
rnacentral:lncRNA from 1 species